AGUUAAGUUGGUUUUGGACAUAUUUUCAAAGUCUGAGUUGCUUAUAUUUCUAACCGAAAUCUAGCAACCCCAAAUUAACUUCAAUAAAGAGGUAACGUUAAGGAAAGUUUUUAAAACACAGAACGAAAAUUUAUUUCCUUGAACAAACAAAACUCUCCACUCGACUGCUUUCAAACAAACUGGAUGAUACAGGUAUUUUACUUCAAAAUCUCCCAGUGGCUUGGUUCCUAGACGACUCAGAAGUUUUGUUAUCACCAUUAUGUCGAGUGACGUUUCUUUGUCAGACAUCCUGCCAUUGCAUAAGUAUGAAUAUUGGAAAGUUCCUGGCUGUCUCCUUAAUGGUCUUGUAUCCAAGUAUUUUGUUCAGGUUAGUAAAUUGACCUUUAGUUUAAUUCUAACAAAUAUCAUUUAGUUGUCAUAAGUAUGAAUAUUGGACAUUAAUGGCCAUCCCUACGUACCUGAAAGAUUCCUGGCUGUCUCCUUAAUGGUCUUGUAUCCAAGUAUUUUGUUCAGGUUAGUAAAUUGACCUUUAGUUUAAUUCUAACAAAUAUCAUUUAGUUGUCAUAAGUAUGAAUAUUGGACAUUAAUGGCCAUCCUUACGUACCUGAAAGAUUCCUGGUUGUCUCCUUAAUGGUCUUGUAUCCAAGUAUUUUGUUCAGCUCCAUGUACCACAGUUUGAGAAUCACAUCUACUUACCACCAAGCCAAUUCCACCUUCAUUCCUACUCAGAACUAGUUCUUCUCGCCAAUUCUGGAGUUCCACAUCAUUGAUAACUUUCUCCGGUUUGUCUAAAGAUGGUCAGAAGUAUGAAAAUUAAUUACAACUUCCUUUUUUUUUCUAACUAGAUAUUAUCGUUAGUGUUAUGCAUCCAUAAAGUGAAAUUAGUGUGACAUUAAAAGUACACUUCAAUACUAUACUAAAGUGUUAUUUUCACAGGGUAUGAUUAAAGAAGACACUUCAAUACUAUACUAAAGUGUUAUUUUCACAGGGUAUGAUUAAAGAAGACACUUCAAUACUAUACUAAAGUGUUAUUUUUCACAGGGUAUGAUUAAAGAAGACACUUCAAUACUAUACUAAAGUGUUAUUUUUCACAGGGUAUGAUUAAAGAAGACACUUCAAUACUAUACUAAAGUGUUAUUUUCACAGGGUAUGAUUAAAGAAGACACUUCAAUACUAUACUAAAGUGUUAUUUUUCACAGGGUAUGAUUAAAGAAGAUGUAGUAACAAAAUUUUCUGAGACAAAGAUCUAACAUCUAUUGUAAAAUCAAAACCUGCAAUGUUUCAGCCGGAGGAAACCCUUGCACCUUAAGGCAACUGAGAGUCCCACGAGGGCGGAACUCGGAUUCCAAUUAACUGUUUGUUAUGGAAUGAACAAUUGGAAAACGUCCUGCAGAACCAAGAUGAAAGGUUUGUGCCACAAUUCCUAAGAUUUUCCCUCUUCCAAGAUGCCAUAAGCCGGUCAUGCUAGACACAGUGUGUCCUCUUUAAAUUCUUCAUUCAGUUUCUAGGUUCAUUGCCUAACUCGUUUUUUGCCGGUGGCAUGUUGACUUUAACAAAAAUGUUGUGUGGUAUAACUGUGUUUUUGUAACUUCUUUGGCCACUACAUUUGCUUGUUGGAUAACUUAAUCUUGCUGCAGUGUAAACAGUUCGUAACUUUUUCUUCUCUUAAGGAUAUGAUUAAAUAAUAUUUA